UACGGAGGGUGCAAGCGUUAUCCGGAUUCACUGGGUUUAAAGGGUGCGUAGGCGGGCAGGUAAGUCCGUGGUGAAAUCUCUGAGCUUAACUCAGAAACUGCCGUGGAUACUAUUUGCCUUGAAUAUUGUGGAGGUGAGCGGAAUAUGUCAUGUAGCGGUGAAAUGCUUAGAUAUGACAUAGAACACCAAUUGCGAAGGCAGCUCACUACACAAUGAUUGACGCUGAGGCACGAAAGCGUGGGGAUCAAACAGG
rnacentral:rRNA from 1 species